rnacentral:rRNA from 1 species
UUUAUGGAGAGUUUGAUCCUGGCUCAGGAUGAACGCUGGCGGCGUGCCUAAUACAUGCAAGUCGAGCGAACAGAUAAGGG